GUGAGUCAUCGAAUCUUUGAACGCACAUUGCGCCCUUGGGUAUUCCUGGGGGCAUGCCUGUUUGAGAACCUUGACGUACCUCACACCCCACCUUGGUGUUUUAGCUUCGGCGAAAUAAUCCUCAUAGGUGCUGGGAGUGGAUUUGGGCCUAGUCUUCUUCCUUUGUGGAGAAGAGGCCUUAAAUGUAAUGUCGACCGCAUUCUUCACUUUGGCUGGNUUUGCUUGAGGCACAUCAAGACGUGAUUAAUACCUUCAUUGGUUUUUCCUAACGUCGAUAACUGAGCCUCGUGAACUGUCCCA
rnacentral:misc_RNA from 1 species